GAGCUUACCUGACAGGGGAAACACCAUAAUCAAGCAGGUGGCUUUCCCAGGGUGGGGCUCAUCCCUGCGCUCUGGGUGUGCUGACCCCUGAGGUGAGACAGUAUGAGAAAAC
rnacentral:snRNA from 10 species